rnacentral:tRNA from 1 species
GCAGGUAUGGUUGAAUGGUAAAAUUUCUCUUUUCCAAGGAGAAGAUGUUGGUUUGAUCAUCACUACCCGCU